CCUACGGGCGGCAGCAGUAGGGAAUUUUCGGCAAUGGGGGGAACCCUGACCGAGCAACGCCGCGUGAACGAAGAAGUUAUUCGUAAUGUAAAGUUCUUUUAACAGGGAAGAAAGAGACAUUUGACGGUACCUGAAGAAUAAGCUCCGGCUAACUACGUGCCAGCAGCCGCGGUAAUACGUAGGGAGCGAGCGUUAUCCGGAAUUAUUGGGCGAAAAGGGUGCGUAGAUGGCAUAGUAAGUCUUUUGUAAAAAUGCUGGGCUCAACCCAGUAGGGCAAAAGAUACUGCAAAGCUAGAGUAUGACAGAGGCAAGUGGAACUACAGGUGUAGCGGUAAAAUGCGUAAAGAUAUGUAAGAAUACCAGUGGCGAAGGCGGCUUGCUGGGUCGAUACUGACAUUGAGGCACGAAAGCGUGGGGAGCAAACAGGAUUAGAUACCCCUGUAGUC
rnacentral:rRNA from 1 species